rnacentral:rRNA from 1 species
UAGGGAAUCUUCCGCAAUGGACGCAAGUCUGACGGAGCAACGCCGCGUGAGUGAAGAAGGAUUUCGGUUCGUAAAACUCUGUUGUUAGAGAAGAACAGCGCAUAGAGUAACUGUUAUGCGUGUGACGGUAUCUAACCAGAAAGCCACGGCUAACUACGUGCCAGCAGCCGCGGUAAUACGUAGGUGGCAAGCGUUGUCCGGAUUUAUUGGGCGUAAAGCGAGCGCAGGCGGUCAAUUAAGUCUGAUGUGAAAGCCCCCGGCUCAACCGGGGAGGGUCAUUGGAAAGUGGUUGACUUGAGUGCAGAAGAGGAGAGUGGAAUUCCAUGUGUAGCGGUGAAAUGCGUAGAUAUAUGGAGGAACACCAGUGGCGAAGGCGACUCUCUGGUCUGUAACUGACGCUGAGGCUCGAAAGCGUGAGUAGCAAACAGG